GAUGAACGCUGGCGGCGUGCUUAACACAUGCAAGUCGAACGAUGAAGCCCAGCUUGCUGGGUGGAUUAGUGGCGAACGGGUGAGUAACACGUGAGUAACCAGCCCUUAACUCUGGGAUAAGCCUGGGAAACUGGGUCUAAUACCGGAUAGGAGCGCCUACCGCAUGGUGGGUGUUGGAAAGAUUUAUCGGUUUUGGAUGGACUCGCGGCCUAUCAGCUUGUUGGUGAGGUAAUGGCUCACCAAGGCGACGACGGGUAGCCGGCCUGAGAGGGUGACCGGCCACACUGGGACUGAGACACGGCCCAGACUCCUACGGGAGGCAGCAGUGGGGAAUAUUGCACAAUGGGCGAAAGCCUGAUGCAGCGACGCCGCGUGAGGGAUGACGGCCUUCGGGUUGUAAACCUCUUUCAGUAGGGAAGAAGCGAAAGUGACGGUACCUGCAGAAGAAGCACCGGCUAACUACGUG
rnacentral:rRNA from 1 species